rnacentral:misc_RNA from 1 species
GAUGAAGAACGUAGCGAAAUGCGAUAAGUAGUGUGAAUUGCAGAAUUCAGUGAAUCAUCGAAUCUUUGAACGCACAUUGCGCCCCUUGGUAUCCCGAGGGGCAUGCCUGUUCGAGCGUCAUUAUAACCCUCAAGCUCAGCUUGGUGUUGGGGCCUGCUGCAGUGGCAGCCCUUAAAAUCAGUGGCGGCGCCAUCUGGCUCUAAGCGUAGUAAUUCUUCUCGCUAUGGAGUCCUGGUGGAUGCUUGCCAUCAACCCCCAAUUUUUCUAUGGUUGACCUCGGAUCAGGUAGGGAUACCCGCUGAACUUAAGCAUAUCAAUAAGCGGAGGA